UUACAUUAAUUGAACAUGACACUAAGGGAGCAUCUGUGGUGCACUGAGACUCACCCCUUGCAGCAUUUUGAUUCACAUAAAUGUCAUAAUUGACCUUGUGAUGCCCCAGGGGGGUACCAUUUACCCCUGACCAUCUUGGGAAGUUGUUAGAUGGUGAUGAUCCUAGUACAGCUACUCAGUUCAUUGAGACUCUGGAAAGAAGUCUGACAUAGAAAUACAAGGCUAUAAUCGGGCCAUCAGAGAUAUUAAUGCACUGUCAAUCUACAAGAAGGGUAUAUGAUAUGCAAUUGUUUCACAAACACUGUAACAAAUGAUUUUGAAGAGGACGUCUUAGGAUACUCUGAGUUUCUCCAACUUGGACAUUUCACAGGGGAAACGAGCUUUUUAAGACCCACUCAGCACUGGUAUUUAAUAAUGUGGAGAAAAAAACAAAACACGUAAGCAAGCAAGCAAAGAAAUAAACAUAAAUGUCGGCAACUAAUUUCUAAAGCAGUGGGACCAGGGAAAUAACUCCAGAAGAGACAACAAUGCAGUAAGGGACUGUGACACUGCACUGAAGGACGGGAACAGGGGACACUGAGGGCUUGUUGCCAGGUGGCAGCUGUCAAGGUGGGUCAGAGAGAUACAACAUGAAAAACACUCAACUUGCAAUUGCUGAUUGUGAAGAUGGAAGAAGGGGGCCACGAGCCACGGAAUGCAGCAGCCUCUAGAUGGGGAUGGUCCUAGGCUGACAGGAACAAGAUAACAGGGACUUUGGUUUGCAUAGAAUUGAAUUCAGCCAUCAAUUCAAAUAAACUGGAACUGGAUUCUACCCUAGAACUUCCAGAAAGAAACACAGCCUGCUGAUACCUUGAUUUUAAUCUGGUGAGAUGCAUAGUGGACUUCUGAUCUACAAAACUGUAAGAUGAUGUGUUUUUUUAAGCCA